rnacentral:tRNA from 1 species
GGUGAUAGAGCUCAAUGAAAAGAGCAUUGGGUGUGAAAUCAAAGAGCCAGGAUCAAAUCCUGAUUUUGCCA